AUGUGCAUCCUUCAAGGCUGCCUGGAUUACGCCAUUGGUUGGGCCGUCCUUAGCCGAACUGUUUGGAGCCAAAGAGAAAUCUCGAGCUUUGUUGACCAUGCUGGUGAUGGGAAUCAGAUGACAGUCUCGCUUGCCAGGGAGGUGAUGCGCCUGCAGCUAGACCAAAAGAGCCGCAUGGCUAUGGCGAAGGACAUCGUCCUGUUCACCGCGCCGUUCAUUUUGGACCUGCCGACACAUAUUGAUCUGGGUUGGGGUCGAGCUGCUGGACUUUGCCCAAGCUCUUGCCUUGCCAAGUCCAAGUCGGCUCUCGCAGAUGAACACCAUACACGUGCAUGCUUGUUCGUCUCUACGGGCUAG
rnacentral:rRNA from 1 species